UGGGGGAUAUUGCACAAUGGGCGAAAGCCUGAUGCAGCGACGCCGCGUGGGGGAUGAAGGCUUUCGGGUUGUAAACCUCUUUCGCUAUCGAACAAGGCCCGCUUAGGGUGGGUUGAGGGUAGGUGGAGAAGAAGCGCCGGCUAACUACGUGCCAGCAGCCGCGGUAAUACGUAGGGCGCGAGCGUUGUCCGGAAUUAUUGGGCGUAAAGGGCUUGUAGGCGGCUUGUUGCGCCUGCUGUGAAAACGCGGGGCUUAACUUCGGGCGUGCAGUGGGUACGGGCAGGCUUGAGUGUGGUAGGGGUGACUGGAAUUCCAGGUGUAGCGGUGGAAUGCGCAGAUAUCUGGAGGAACACCGAUGGGGAAGGGAGGUCACUGGGCCAUUACUGACGCUGAGGGGCGAAAGCAUGGGUAGCGAACAGG
rnacentral:rRNA from 1 species